ACUCCUACGGGAGGCAGCAGUGGGGAAUUUUGGACAAUGGGCGAAAGCCUGAUCCAGCAAUGCCGCGUGCAGGAUGAAGGCCUUCGGGUUGUAAACUGCUUUUGUACGGAACGAAAAAGCUCCUUCUAAUACAGGGGGCCCAUGACGGUACCGUAAGAAUAAGCACCGGCUAACUACGUGCCAGCAGCCGCGGUAAUACGUAGGGUGCGAGCGUUAAUCGGAAUUACUGGGCGUAAAGCGUGCGCAGGCGGUUAUGUAAGACAGAUGUGAAAUCCCCGGGCUCAACCUGGGAACUGCAUUUGUGACUGCAUGGCUAGAGUACGGUAGAGGGGGAUGGAAUUCCGCGUGUAGCAGUGAAAUGCGUAGAUAUGCGGAGGAACACCGAUGGCGAAGGCAAUCCCCUGGACCUGUACUGACGCUCAUGCACGAAAGCGUGGGGAGCAAACAGGAUUAGAUACCCGUGUAGUCCCAU
rnacentral:rRNA from 1 species